rnacentral:rRNA from 1 species
UACGUAGGGACCGAGCGUUGUCCGGAUUCAUUGGGCGUAAAGAGCUCGUAGGCGGCUGUUCAAGUCGAACGUGAAAAUUCGGAGCUCAACUCCGAGCCUGCGUUCGAUACUGGACGGCUAGAGUCUGGUAGGGGGAUCUGGAAUUCCUGGUGUAGCGGUGGAAUGCGCAGAUAUCAGGAGGAACACCGGUGGCGAAGGCGCUCUGCUAGGCCGCAACUGACACUGAGGGACGAAAGCUAGGGGAGCGAAUGGG